AGCGGUGGAGCAUGUGGUUUAAUUCGAUGCAACGCGAAGAACCUUACCUGGUCUGACAUCCAUAGAAUUCUGCAGAGAUGUGGGAGUGCCUUCGGGAACUAUGAGACAGGUGCUGCAUGGCUGUCGUCAGCUCGUGUUGUGAAAUGUUGGGUUAAGUCCCGCAACGAGCGCAACCCUUAUUCUUUGUUGCCAGCGAUUUGGUCGGGAACUCAAAGGAGACUGCCGUUGAUAAAGCGGAGGAAGGUGGGGACGACGUCAAGUCAUCAUGGCCCUUACGACCAGGGCUACACACGUGCUACAAUGGCGUAUACAAAGGGAAGCGAAGGUGCGAGCUGGAGCGGAUCUCAUAAAGUACGUCUAAGUUCGGAUUGGAGUCUGCAACUCGACUCCAUGAAGUCGGAAUCGCUAGUAAUCGUAGAUCAGAAUGCUACGGUGAAUACGUUCCCGGGCCUUGUACACACCGCCCGUCACACCAUGGGAGUGGGUUGCACCAGAAGUAGAUAGCUUAACCGCGAGGGGGGCGUUUACCACGGUGUGAUUCAUGACUGGGGUGAAGUCGUAACAAGGUAACCA
rnacentral:rRNA from 1 species